UCCUUCCCACUAUUCUUUCCCUUCACAGCACCUACUGCAACUUGUAAGGACAUCUUUAUUUGGAUGUUUACACUUUUAACAGCUGUCUCUCUUGCUGGCUGAGAAGCUCCAACAUAGGACCAACCUAGCUGGGCCCUGGAAGGUGAGGAAUGGGAGGAAAAAUGUGAAGUCACAGCUCCCUUGUGCCCAGCCACCCUGGGCUACCCUCGUCCCCAGGCUCCUCCAGAUGGCAGUGCCCAGGGCAGUGGGGAGGGUUCCAGGGCCUGUGUCUUCCCAUUCUUCGUCCUCUCCCUUCAUCCCUUAUCAUUUCCACAGCAAGGACAAGGGUCUAUGCUGGACACAGAGAAAGGCCUGGGGACUACUGGCCUCUGACCCUACCCAGCAAGGCCCUACCGUGCUCAGGGGACAAUUUCAUUCUCUCUGCCUCCACCACAAAGUCAUAGGGCAGGCCUGUCUAAAAAGCCCCAAUGCACACAGACAUGCAUGCACGCAAAACAGCUCUAGAAGGGAAAAACUUUUUUAACGUCUCUGCCAUUUUAGUGUCAUGUUACUGAAACUGCCCUUCCCCAGUCGCUCAGUUCAGAGCCUUCUCUGUGGAGUCUUUAAACAAGUGUUUCAGGGUCCUCAACAGCAGUAAGAUAGGACCCCUCUCAGAGUUCAGCUUGUUCCUAUUUCCGUCUCUUCUCACUCAGGAGUGUCCAUCAUGUUUCCUACUGAUUGACAGUUUCAGGCUGACCCAACAUGGGUAGAAACAAGAGCACCUGCCAUUUUCAAGAGAGGCAAACAGGCUUCACCCAGGAUACCUGGGGCUUUGGGGGUCUUCCAAGAAUCCCUGUCCAUCUGGAGAGCUCCUCCUUCCAGACUGGCUCUCUCUCACUUGCAGUCCCUCCUUCUCAGCUCAGGACUCUAUUGGCUGGCCCCAGGCUCUGGCCAUAGCAGUCCCUAGGGCACCAGAAGAG